GGAAAAAUAAUGUAUCAUUUCGGAUGAGUGUUCCAACUUGUUAAAGUUUAAUUAUGUGUGCAUUACACAUAUACAUUUCGACGAAAAAAGAUCAGUAGAUAACUAAAGAAAACUUGAAUAGUAAACUCACCAUAUAUAAUCGUUAAAUCCAGUGGAUAAUAUUUAUAUUUAGACGACACACAUCAAAACUAUACCCGAUAACGAACAUGCGAAAAACAACACUGUGCC
rnacentral:lncRNA from 1 species